rnacentral:rRNA from 1 species
AUUGAACGCUGGCGGCAGGCUUAACACAUGCAAGUCGAGCGGGGUGAUGGUGCUUGCACUAUCACUUAGCGGCGGACGGGUGAGUAAUGCUUAGGAAUCUGCCUAUUAGUGGGGGACAACAUCUCGAAAGGGAUGCUAAUACCGCAUACGCCCUACGGGGGAAAGUAGGGGAUUAGUUGUGACCUUGCGCUAAUAGAUGAGCCUAAGUCGGAUUAGCUAGUUGGUGGGGUAAAGGCCUACCAAGGCGACGACCUGUAGCGGGUCUGAGAGGACGAUCCGCCACACUGGGACUGAGACACGGCCCAGACUCCUACGGGAGGCAGCAGUGGGGAAUAUUGGACAAUGGGGGGAACCCUGAUCCAGCCAUGCCGCGUGUGUGAAGAAGGCCUUAUGGUUGUAAAGCACUCUAAGCGAGGAGGAGGCUCUUUUGGUUAAUACCCAAGAUGAGUGGACGUUACUCGCAGAAUAAGCACCGGCUAACUCUGUGCCAGCCGCCGCAGUAA